GCUUCAAAAGCACAUAUUAAAAUAGGAAUGAUACAGAAAAGAUUAGCAUGGCCCCUGCACAAAGAUAGCAUGCAAAUUCACGGAGCAUUCCAUAUUUUU
rnacentral:snRNA from 1 species